AAAUCAUCAGAUGUUCGUAAAGUAGCAGAGACAUGCAUUGCUGAAAUCUUGAGAGUUUGUACACAAGAAACUGUUGUGAAGCUUGUUAGGGAUGUUCAGGGACCAGCUUUAGCUCUUGUUCAUGACGUUUGAAGCAUUAUGGUAAUUUUCAAGAAUCUUUUGAAUCUGCCAAAACAAUUUCGGCCCCUGCAUCCAAGACCCUUUCGAAAGUGGGUAAAUCCACUUCUAAUGGUGUUUUGAAGCAUGGAAGCAAAGUAGCACCUUCUGUAUGUUUCCUUAAAUGCUUACUUCUAGUUCUUUUAUAACUUAUAAUUUUGUAAGGAGAUUAUUAUUAUUUUAUUUUAUUUUCUAAUUUUUUUCGGUUAAUGAUUUUUUAAAGAGAACUGUUGGUAUGAAGGCUUUGAGGUCAGAAUCAAUUAUGUCCGUUCAAGAUAUAGCAGUUCAAUCGCAGGCUUUACUAAAUGUUAAAGAUUCCAAUAAGGAGGAUAGGGAAAGAUUGGUAGUAAGGAGGUUUAAGUUUGAAGAUCCACGGAUAGAAAAAAUUCAAGACCUUGAGAAUGAUUUGAUGAAGUACUUCAGAGAGGAUUUGCAUAGACGGCUUCUAAGCACAGAUUUUAAGAAUCAAAUUGAUGGGCUUGAGAUGCUGCAAAAGGAUGGCUAUGAUAUACAAAGCUUUAAGCGAGGAAUGGCUGCACAAAAGAGUCAAUUUUUUUUCAACACAUAAAUUUUGCAUUUGACAUCGUGCAUUAGUUUCAAUCGCAGCCCAAACUCUGCAAGAUUUCAGUCAAGUGUAUUUGGCUCUGCUGUUCCAAGCGGAUCAUCUGUUUUACAGUUUUGGUCGGAUUCUCUUUGAAAGAAGAAUAUAUUCUCUUUGAAAGAAGAAUGGUAAAGGACUCUUGCUGCAAACAAUUUUACUAGAGAGUUCCCUGAUCUCACUAGUCUCACCAAGUUAAAAGAACUAAGGAUCAGUAGUAACUACUUCACAGGAAGGAUGCCUGAGUUUGGCAAUUUGAAACAGCUUCAGAAGUUGAUGAUUCUGAGGUUUGCUAUCAGUUUUCCUCUGGAAUAAAGAUCAGCCAAUUGGGAUGAGC